UAAAUAACUAUAACUAGAGGCUCUAAAGAGCCCGUGUCGCUCACCUUGGUCUAUGUGAAUAUUAAACAAAGGAAGCAGAUGGAUUCAUGACAAAAUUGUGUUUUGGUGAUGGUGAUGUGUUUGUACGUCUUACUUUACUGAACAUUCUUGCUGCUUACAGUUAUCUCUAUCUAUAAUGAACUUGGCCCAGUAGUUUCAGUAGAAAAUGUUAGUAAAAAUUUACAAUUUUAUAAAAAUUGUUAAAAAUUGACUAUAAAGGACAAUAACUCCUUAGGGGUCAAUUGACCAUUUCAGUCAUGUUGACUUAUUUGUAAAUCUUACUUUGCUGUACAUUAUUGCUGUUUAAAGUUUAUCUCUAUCUAUAAUAAUAUUCAAGAUAAUAACCCAAAACAGUAAAAUUUCCUUAAAAUUACCAAUUUAGGGGCAGCAACCCAACAACGGGUUGUGCAUUUCAUCUGAAAAUUUCAGGGCAGAUAGAUUUUGACCUGAUAAACAAUUUUACCCUGUCAGAUUUGC
rnacentral:lncRNA from 1 species